AGCCGCGGUAAUACCUGCAGCCCAAGUGGUGGUCGAUUUUAUUGAGUCUAAAACGUUCGUAGCCGGUUUGAUAAAUCCUUGGGUAAAUCGGAGAGCUUAACUUUCCGACUUCCGAGGAGACUGUCAAACUUGGGACCGGGAGAGGCAAGAGGUACUUGAGGGGUAGGGGUAAAAUCCUGUAAUCCUUUAAGGACCACCGGUGGCGAAGGCGUCUUGCUAGAACGGAUCCGACGGUGAGGGACGAAGCCCUGGGUCGCAAACGGGAUUAGAUACCCCGGUAGUCCAGGGUGUAAACGCUGCAGACUUGGUGUUGGAGAUCCUUCGUGGGUAUUCAGUGCCGGAGAGAAGUUGUUAAGUCUGCUACUUGGGGAGUACGUCCGCAAGGAUGAAACUUAAAGGAAUUGGCGGGGGAGCACCGCAACGGGAGGAGCGUGCGGUUUAAUUGGAUUCAACACCGGAAAACUCACCAGGAGCGACGGUUACAUGAAAGUCAGGCUGAUGACCUUACUCGAUUUUCC
rnacentral:rRNA from 1 species